AGCAAUCAUGCGUAUAAAACUCAUCUGUUCAAACGCCUACAUUCUCUGUUUGGUUUACUAACAAGAACAAGUAAAAGUGAUAGCAGCAAAUAAUAAAUAGCUGCUCUUUUAACGUCCAGAUGCUGCAACUUGUCUGUACCCUGAGAAACAGAGCUAAAAAGGCAGCUUCCAAAGGAUCAUCGAGUCAAAACAUCAACUCCUCUGAAAGUUUUCAAUGUUAAAGCAUGAGUGAAUCUUGUGGCUUCAAGCAACAGAGGUAAAGGAUGUUCCCAAAGGGUGACAUGAUCAAGAUCCCAGGUAUGGUAUGUAGUGGUGGUAGCUCAAAAACUCUAGACCAAACGAGGAAGGAAAAAACAGAACAAGUUCUAUCUCUCCUCCUGAUCCCAGACACAGUACCAAGCAUCUGCAUUUGUACAGACAGCAUUUCUCUCUCUUAUAAAUAAAUCUUCAAAAAAUUGGUAUGGUAGAGUACAAUCUUCAAGUACUUCUAUUGAGAAGUUAAAAAAAUAAAUAAAUCCAGCUCUUGGAUUCCUAAAGAAACCUUUUGUGGCAUUUCAGGAAGGUCUCACAUUAGAGCAGAGCUGGAGAUCGAGCACAGUCACUCUCCACGUCUCAGAUCAUAAACUGAAAUACAUGAAGAGCUUGUCUAAUUGCUGUUACUUGACAGCACUCCUUACAGAGGAAAGCGGUGCCUGCUCCCAUGGCAGGGGAUAAGGGAAGUUUUUUAAUUGAAAAGGAGAUUUCAUCAUUCAGAGAAAAAGCUGCAAAAAGCUAAGGGCUGGGAAAGAUUCACAUGAGGACAGAGAUGAAUCCACAUCAGGAUCUAACUAGCCCUAAUUUUCCAGGGCCACAGAGGAAGCAUCCUCACCAAGUCAGGAGCUACUCUGCCUUCUCUGUCUUCCUAGAAAUCAUAAUAGUCUUCAGUAAGACAGUAAUUACUGCAAGAAGUCCUACUGAGUCCUCUUAGGAAAACUUCAGUUUCCUCUCAAGCACGCACAAGGAAGCUCAGAAGCAAAUGACUGAUGGCUCAUAGCUUGAUUUGAUCUGCUGCUACAAGUAAGCGGUGGCUGGCAAAGCUCACUGGCAUCUCUCAGGUGCAAAUCCAUGUUGGGUUGUUUCAAAGAUUUCCUGAGAAAACUGAGCUUAGAUUAUAUCAUUAAAAGCUAUCUGAGAGGUGUUUCAAUUAUACUAACGUACUGUAUAACUACUGAAGAUAUCCAUAUGCUGCUCAUGUAUAAAAAUGUAAAUAGAUCAUCUGUUGGGUAGCUGAGAUUCUUCAGUUACAUCUAAAUGGUGUGGCUAUCUGAGGUGUAUUUGGAUAUAAAGGCUUCUUCCUGCCUGAAGAUGAAUUUAGUAAAUAAUUUCCAUUUGCACACG
rnacentral:lncRNA from 7 species